ensembl:lncRNA
GAUACGUUUCCUGUUCCAACUCCAUACCUCAACCUUGUGCUUAGAUGCAUCACAGAAGAGCAGGGGUUAUGGCUGCAGGGAUGUCAGCUGCUUUUAGAUGUCCAUGGCCAGGUCUGUUUGGUUUGCCUGUAGCUGCUCACAGCCUCUGACAGCACUGCCUCUUCAGCUGUAGCAGUGGGAAGAAAACAGAGCUCUGUAGGUUUGAGUAAGGCUGGAUUGUGAUCCAUUCAGUGGGCGAAUGCUCUUAGUAAUGUAUUUCCCUUCAGCAUUAAGUCGGAGUGAUGGAAAGCCACCCUGACCUGGUGCACAGCAGAGCAGGUUUACACUUCAGCUCCUCUCAUGUUUCCACUGGGGUAAUUCAGUGACAUUCCCCUGCUAUCCUCCAGUGCCUGCAUAGCUUAGUUCACUAAUAGCUGAGGGAAACCUUAUUAUUUUUGAUAUUGUGGAAGUAAUGUUCCUCAUAUGCUGGCUUCUGUAAGACAAAACAGCUCGUGGUGGUUCUAAUCCUGGCUGUCCUUUGGGAUCGAGUGACCUGAAAGCCCUGAGGACAGCAGCACAAAGCAGCAAAUGUGAGCUUCCUGCUGGGGACCUGCCAAACACGUCGGGCGUUCCAACCCCAGGUCUGUUACUGAGGGCUAAUACUGACACCAGGGAUGGUGAGAUAUCGGAGGGACAAAGAUCCUGCACAAUCCCCAGAUCCUGGAUCUCGUGGAUGGAGGGCCUUGAGUAGCCCAGCUGGGAACGAAGGGCUCUCAGCGUGUGUCAUUGUCCAGUGCCAUGCAGGACGGGUGCCUGAACUGCCUUACUGUUUGGCACUCGGUGUCCUCCUCGUCCAUGGUGGUUCCUGAGCCCGUGAGUUCCUUCUGCUGGAUACGUGCCAUGUCUCUCCUCUUCCUUUCCAGAUACUGAUACCAAAUAGUUUUCCCCCACCCUUUUCUGAUGCUGCGCAGCAACAUUACAACACCGUAGCAGACAUCCUGCUCAGGAACAUCUGACCUUAUGUCAUCCUUAAUUACAAGGUGUGAUCAGCAUCGUCUUCUACAGCAAUGCAAACUGGCCCAGU